AAGAGAUUACUGGCAGCCCACGAUGCUGAAUUGGGAGUGUGGAGAGCAGGUCCAGACCCGUUGGUGCUCAUGUUACCAAUGGUUCCGCUGAAAAGCUCAGGAAUUUUUUCUCUCGCAAGUCAACACCUGCUUGUUGAGGAAAUUUCUCACCGAUGGCAGAUGUCAUGCAGGCGAAGGGAAGAAACUCAAACCCUCUUCAAAGUGAAAACUACAAAGGCAAAUGAUCAUAAACCAUGUGUGAGUAUCUGAGUGUGCUUGCAAAGCAUGUCUGACUCAUUUGCUGGAACUCGGCGAGUCGCAAAGAGAUUUCUAAAAAAGGAAAGGUACCAAUUAAACUUCCGCACUGGUUCCUUCCGAGGGUGCCACCUCUCCACUUCCUUCCUCCCCGGCUCUCCGUCCCUGCGGAAACAGGUGGACAAAUCUCACCGUC
ensembl:lncRNA